rnacentral:rRNA from 1 species
UACGGAGGGUGCAAACGUUGCUCGGAAUCAUUGGGCGUAAAGCGCACGUAGGCGGUUCGCUAUGUCGGAUGUGAAAGCCCUCGGCUUAACCGAGGAAGGGCAUCCGAAACUGGCGGGCUUGAGUACGGAAGAGGGUCUCGGAAUUCCCAGUGUAGAGGUGAAAUUCGUAGAUAUUCGGAAGAACACCAGUGGCGAAGGCGGCUCACUGGUCCGGUACUGACGCUGAGGUACGAAAGCGUGGGGAGCAAACAGG